GACGAACGCUGGCGGCGUGCUUAACACAUGCAAGUCGAACGGAAAGGCCCUGCUUUUGUGGGGUGCUCGAGUGGCGAACGGGUGAGUAACACGUGAGUAACCUGCCCUUGACUUUGGGAUAACUUCAGGAAACUGGGGCUAAUACCGGAUAGGAGCUCCUGCUGCAUGGUGGGGGUUGGAAAGUUUCGGCGGUUGGGGAUGGACUCGCGGCUUAUCAGCUUGUUGGUGGGGUAGUGGCUUACCAAGGCUUUGACGGGUAGCCGGCCUGAGAGGGUGACCGGACACAAUAGGACUGAGAUACGGCCCAGACUCGUACGGGAGGCAGCAGUGGGGAAUAUUGCACAGUGGGCGGAAGCCAGAUGCGGCAACGCCGCGUGCGGAAUGACGGGCUUCGGGUUGUGAACCGAUUUCGCCUGUGACGAGGCGUGAGUGACGGUAAUGGGUAAAGAAGCACCGGCUAACUACGUG
rnacentral:rRNA from 1 species